UGCCUGUACCAUAACCGACACAGGUGGGUAGGUAGAGUAUACUAAGGGGCGCGAGAUAACUCUCUCUAAGGAACUCGGCAAAAUGACUCCGUAACUUCGGGAGAAGGAGUGCCUUAUUUAUAAGGUUGCAAUAACAAGAUCCAAGCAACUGUUUAUCAAAAACACAGGUCUCCGCUAAGUCGUAAGACGAUGUAUGGGGGCUGACGCCUGCCCAGUGCCAGAAGGUUAAAGAAGUUGGUUAGUGUAUGCGAAGCUGAUGACUGAAGCCCUGGUGAACGGCGGCCGUAACGAUAACGGUCCUAAGGUAGCGAAAUUCCUUGUCGGGUAAGUUCCGACCCGCACGAAAGGCGUAAUGAUUUGGAUACUGUCUCGGAGAGAGGCUCGGUGAAAUAGACUUGUCUGUGAAGAUGCGGACUACCUGCACCAGGACAGAAAGACCCUAUGAAGCUUUACUGUAACUUGAAAUUGGAAUUGGACUUUGCUUGCGCAGUAUAGGUGGGAAGCGUUGAAGAUAUUCUUGCGGGAGUAUUGGAGCUAUCAGUGAGAUACCACUCUUGUAAUGUUAGAUUUCUAACUUUGAACCAUAAUCUGGUCAAAGAACAGUUUCAGGUGGGCAGUUUGACUGGGGCGGUCGCCUCCCAAAUGGUAACGGAGGCGUACAAAGGUUUCCUCUGAACGGAUAGAAAUCGUAUCUAGAGUGUAAAGGCAUAAGGAAGCUUGACUGUGAGACCUACAAGUCGAGCAGGGACGAAAGUCGGUCUUAGUGAUCUGACGGUACUGAGUGGAAAGGCCGUCACUCAACGGAUAAAAGUUACUCUAGGAUAACAGGCUGAUCUCCCCCAAGAGUUCACAUCGACGGGGAGGUUUGGCACCUCGAUGUCGGCUCAUCGCAUCCUGGGGCGGUAGUACGUCCCAAGGGUUGGGCUGUUCGCCCAUGAAAGCGGUACGCGAGCUGGGUUCAGAACGUCGUGAGACAGUUCGGUCCAUAUCCGGUGUAGGCGUUAGAAUAUUGAGAGGAGCCUUCUUUAGUACGAGAGGACCGAGAAGGACACACCGCUGGUGUACCAGUUAUCGUGCCAACGGUAAACGCUGGGUAGCUAUGUGUGGAGUGGAUAACCGCUGAAAGCAUCUAAGUGGGAAGCCCACCUCAAGAUGAGUAUUCUCAUCACUAUAAGUGAGUAAGGUCACGGUAAGACUAACCGUUUGAUAGGCAUUAAGUGUAAAUGUAGUAAUGCAUGUGCUGAGAUGUCCUAACAGACCGAGGACUU
rnacentral:rRNA from 1 species